UUGAGGCACCAGUUGCCAUCCGCUUACAGAAGUUAAGCAAUGUUGAGCCUGUUCUGUACCUAGAUGGGUGACCACUUGGGAACACCAGGUGCUGUGA